rnacentral:tRNA from 1 species
GCGGUAGUAGUCUAACGGCAGGACGUGGCCUUGCCAAGGCUGCAGUCCGGGUUCGAAUCCCGGCUACCGCA